rnacentral:rRNA from 1 species
UACGUAGGUGGCAAGCGUUGUCCGGAAUUACUGGGUGUAAAGCGCGUGUAGGCGGCAGACCAAGUCGGCGGUGAAAGCGCCCGGCUCAACUGGGCGAGGUCCGUGGAAACUGGUCAGCUGGAGGACGGUAGAGGCGAGUGGAAUUCCCGGUGUAGUGGUGAAAUGCGUAGAGAUCGGGAGGAACACCUGUGGCGAAGGCGGCUCGCUGGGCCGGUCCUGACGCUGAGACGCGAAGGCGUGGGAGCGAA